CUCAAAUAGCCACAAUAGCCUAUUGGCUGUCUAAAACUGUAAUGGUACAGUGUUCACUGUAAACACACGCCAGAAGUUGCACACAAUUCUCAAGUUUCCACUCACAAGACCUAAAAUGUGCUCAGUGCCCCAAAACAAUUAUUUGAAAUUAGGGUUGUAAACAGUCGGAAACUUUCCAGUAAAUUUCUGGAAGUUAAUCCCUGGAAUUUUGCUUAUAACAGUUAACCUUUUUUGUGGGAUACACAUAAGGUAAUUCUAGGUCUUGUGGCAUAUAUUGGUUAAACUAUCCCCAAUUCAAUGGAAUUGCAACCCUCUGCAUGGCCAGUGCAUUCUUCCAUCACAUGUGCAGUGCACUCUUCCAACACAUGUACAGCUGAUUCUCAAGAUCUUGCACACUAAUGAGAUGCUAUUGAGCCCACACUACUACACUGUCUGAGCCAAGGUCUACAUGCUUUCUGGGUUGAAGCUAUGAACCCACAGGCUUGGCUCGGUCAUCCCUUUCAGACUUUUGGGAGGGAGGAUGGACAGACAAUGAGCCUGUCAUAGUGGAUGCAAGUAAUGUCCCCACGCGCUCUGACAGCUUUCAUGGCUGGGCAACGUAGGCUACGCAGUUACUCCUCGCAGUUCCAGAAAAGGCAGAUGGAAACAGCAACAAACAGCAGGGAUUCAAACAGUCACACUCCCGGGACAAUCCGUGGAUCUAGCCGUAAGGGCUGUGGGCUGUGUACAAGCUGCUAAGAAAAGCUAGCUUGAUAGCUAGCUAACAUUAGUUAGAAGCUAGGCUAGCAUCUGUGCCAACAAGAGAAUGAUGAGCUAUUUCUCUGGAGCAAAAUAGACCUAUUGUUCCCUGUAAUACAGUGAACGUCCUACAGUUUUGUGAUGUUAUAUGUUGACAAUUAUUUGAAAACAAGUCCAUUAAUUCAUAGUUUUUGCAAAAGAAAGCCAUGAGAAAGAAACACGUUUCAAUGCAUGUACAUCAAUAUUUUAUUAAAAUAUCACAAACAGCAAAAUAGUGAACAGACAUAAACCCUUUUUUUUAUUUCUCUGACAAUUUUUGUCCCACUUCUGUAAAACGUUUGGACUGAUUAUGUGCGAUGCCAUUGCAUGAAAGGUGUCAGUGACUGUAGGAAGCCUGUUUAGGAAAAUUAAGUUAUUUAAAAAGACUGCUUAUUGCUUUUAUUUUUUUAUUCAGUCAAAAAAAAUAUGCAUCUUCCACUUUUCUCUGUUGGACCUAACUGUCAAAUUCCCUUUCACG
rnacentral:lncRNA from 1 species